UACGUAGGGGGCUAGCGUUGUCCGGAAUCAUUGGGCGUAAAGAGCGUGUAGGCGGUCCGGUAAGUCCGCUGUGAAAGUCGGGGGCUCAACCCUCGAAUGCCGGUGGAUACUGUCGGGCUAGAGUGCGGAAGAGGCGAGUGGAAUUCCUGGUGUAGCGGUGAAAUGCGUAGAUAUCUGGAGGAACACCGGUGGCGAAGGCGGCAUCCUGGACCAAUAUUGACGCUGAGGAGCGAAAGCCAGGGGAGCAAACGGGG
rnacentral:rRNA from 1 species